UCGAGGAUCAUUCGCAAUGGGGGAAACCCUGACGAUGCGACGCUGCGUGGAGGAUGAAGGCCCUCGGGUUGUAAACUCCUGUCAUGAGGGGAGAGGCGGAGGCGGCGAACAGCCGCCCGAGUUGACGGUACCUCAAGAGGAAGCCACGGCUAACUCUGUGCCAGCGGCCGCGGUAAUACAGAGGUGGCGAGCGUUGUUCGGAUUUACUGGGCGUAAAGGGCGCGUAGGCGGCGCGGUGUGUCGGGUGUGAAAUCCAUGGGCUGAACCCAUGAAGUGCGCCCGAAACUGCCGCGCUCGAGUGCGGGAGGGGGGAUCGGAAUGCAGGGUGGAGCGGUGAAAUGCUUAGAUAUUACACAGAACACCGAUUGCGAAGGCAGCUUGCUGGGCCAUUACUGACGCUGAUGCACGAAAGCGUGGGGAUCGAACA
rnacentral:rRNA from 1 species